AUGAGCCCCCUCCGCGCCCUCCUCGUCCUCGCCGCCGUCCUCGCGGCGUGCCUCGGCCCCGCGGCCGCGGACCAGCCCGGAUCCGUCGAGGGAUACACCAUCGCCGGCCGCAUCAAGAUCGACGCUGCAAGGGGCUUUGGUCUUCCAGCCAAGACAUCAAACACGAAAGUGAUACUUAAUGGUGGUCAGAAAGUUACAUUCGCCAGGCCAGACGGCUACUUUGCCUUCCACAACGUGCCUGCUGGGACACAUUUGAUAGAAGUCUCCUCACUUGGCUACUUCUUUUCACCAGUUCGAGUGGACAUCAGUGCCAGGAAUCCAGGGCACAUUCAAGCAGCAUUGACUGAAAACAGAAGAGUUCUAAAUGAGCUUGUUUUGGAACCUCUGAAAGAAGAGCAAUACUAUGAGCCGAGGGAGCCUUUCAACAUUUUGUCCCUUUUGAAGAGCCCCAUGGGUAUGAUGGUCGGUUUUAUGGUCCUAAUGGUCGUCGUUAUGCCCAAGAUGAUGGAGAACAUAGAUCCCGAGGAGAUAAAGCAAGCUCAAGAGCAAAUGAGGAACUCACCUGUUCCAUCCUUUUCUGGCUUGCUAGCCAGAGCAAACAGCUAG
rnacentral:rRNA from 1 species